UAAAAACUUAUAGAAAAAGAAGGAUAAAGAUGAAAUUCCAUCGUUAACUGCAAAAAAAAUUAUAAGUUGCAUUACUUAAAAUGUAAACUGCAGCUUUAAGAUGAAAAUUACACUCUUUAAACGAAAAUUACACUCUUGGGAGAUAUUUACACUGUUUUUUCUCUUAUUGCACUCUUUCAGAUGUAAACUGCAUCCAUUAAGAUGAAAGUUACACUCUUUAAACGAAAGUUGCACCGUUUUUCCUCUUGUUGCACCAUUUCUCCUCUUGUUACACUAUUUUUUAUCUUAAAACUGCACCCCUUUAAGAGAUAUUUAUACUGUUUCUCCUCUUGUUGCACUGUUUCUCCUCUUGUUGCACCAUUUCUCCUCCUGUUACACUAUUUUUUAUCUUAAACUACAUCCCUUUAAGAGAUAUUUAUACUGUUUCUCCUCUUGUUGCACUAUUUUUUCUCUUGUUGCACUAACAAGAGGAGAAAUAGUACAAUAAGAGAAAAAACAGUGCAACAAGAGGAGAAACAGUAUAAAUAUCUGUUAAAGGGGUGCAGUUUGAGAUAAAAAAUAGUGUAAUAGGAGGAGAAAUUAUGCAACAAGAGGAGAAACAGUACAACAAGAGGAGAAAUAAUAUAAAUAUCUCUUAAAGGGGUGCAGUUUAAGAUAAAAAAUAGUGUAAUAAGAGGAGAAAUUAUGCAACAAGAAGAGAAACAGUGCAACUUUCAUUUAAAGAGUGUAACUUUCAUCUUAAUGGAUGCAGUUUACAUCUGAAAGAGUGCAAUAAAAAGAGAAACAGUGUAAAUAUCUCUCAAAGAGUGUAAUUUUCGUUUAAAAAGUGUAAUUUUUAUCUUAAAGCUGUAGUUUACAUAUUAAGUAGUGCAACUUAUAAUUUUUUUUGCAUUUAACGAUGCAAUUUCAUCUUCAUCCUUCUUUUUAUAUAAUUUUUUAUCUUUAUUUUUUUCUGUUUUUUUUAUAAUUUUUUUUUUGUCACCCUCUUUGCCAACAGCUACAGCGCCGGCGACGACGCCGCUGAGGACCCCCCGCUCCGAGGCUGCAGUGCCGCAAUGAUCUCCACGGUAUCGGCGUCGGCGCCGGCGAAAAUGCAUCAUCGUCGGAGGCGACAGAGAAGGAGGAAGAGGGAGAGGCGAGAAGGGCGGGGAAGAGCGAGAGAGGCGUCGCCGUCGGAGACGGUGGAGGAGAGUCGGGGAAGAAAAAAAAAGAAAAAAACAAAAAAAGUCGCGGCGCGGCCUUGGCGGGGUCGGAGGCGAGGAAGGUGGGGGGUGCGUGGGCGAGGGCAAGGGCGAGGCGAGAGCAUGAGGGUGAGAGGCGAGGCGGACCGUUUCCGCCUCCGCCUCUGCCUUCGUUAUUUUUUUCCGCGAGAAAAAAAAAGAACGAGAGAAACGAAGAGGAGAGAGAAAGAGAAAAGAGAAAAAGUAAUAAGGGUAUUUUGAUCAAUUUGCUGAAAAAACGGACUGAAUCUGAAAAAACGAAAAAUGUGGCCCAGUUUUGCAAAAGCCCAAAAUAAGUGGAUUUUUUAUGCAAAUUGGCCAGGAAAUAAAUAUAUAUUAAAUAAAUAUUUUAAGUAAGCACAACUAAAGAAAUAGAAAUACUUUAUAAUUCUAAUUGACACCACGCAUUAUAAAUGUAUGAUAAAAGUGACAAAAACUAAAAGCUUACUUAAAAUAUUUAUUUAAUAUAUAUUUAUUUCCUGGCCAAUUUGCAUAAAAAAUCCACUUAUUUUGGGCUUUUGCAAAACUGGGCCACAUNACUUUAUAAUUCUAAUUGACACCACGCAUUAUAAAUGUAUGAUAAAAGUGACAAAAACUAAAAGCUUACAUAAUAUAGAUAGUACCGUAAUUCAAAAUUUAACAAAUAUAUAGUAGAACAACUAUAUAAUGAAAAAAAAAUAUUGGAGUUCUCCGGUUCAUUCAUUUUUUUUUGCUAAUUAUAUUUUUUUUGCUAAUUAUACAAUUUCAAAUGCAGACUCGUAAAUAAAGUAUCUAAAAUUCUUUGUGGAUCUCAAUAAAUAAAGAAAAUCUACUAAAAUUAUUUCUUUUAUACAUGAAUAUAUAGAUUAUUUCAACUCAACAAGAUACUAUAAGCAUGUAUACCCAUCACUUAUAUUCUUGUUAAAAGAAUCAUAAUUUUCACGAGAAAAGAAGAUCAUACACAAAUUUAACACAUCCAAAACAAAUACCUGAAAUUUCAAUGCAUAUUUCUUAACACCACACAUUAUAAAUCUAUAUUAUUAUAUAUUAAAGGGCGUGGAGCAGUAGUAAUGUGCCGAACUUUUGUAAAUAACAAACUUCUAGUGAAAAAUAGUAAUUGAUACCAUUUUGAUGGUCUUGGUGGUGUUUGAAGAGGGUUUGAGUGUUUUCAACAUGAAAAUGGCAUGAAAAUAGAGUUUGAAAAGCAAAAUCUAUAAAACUGCAGAUUGAUGUUAGUACUGGUACUGGAGUGGAGUACCGGUACUCAGUUGUGGAAUGGCUAAGGGAGCUCGUGGGUUUUGCGGAACUUAUUGAGUACCAGCAUUGAAAUAUAGAGUACCGGUACUAAAGUUUGUGGGUAUUGAUACAGUCGGCACCAUAAAAAUAGCUCCACGUGAUCGAGCAGUCCGAGCCACAUGAGCAAAGAAAACGAGACAAAAAGUGACACGUGGUACACCAGAAGUCGGGAGGAGCACGCCUAAAACGGAAAGGUGGUUUAGGCAGGAGCAGUCGAAGACAUGGAGGAAAGGUUUCGUGGCUGGCAAGAGAUCGGCCGAAGCAGAACCCGGGGAAAUAGGGAUGUGGUCAAAGAAACCUCUACGAUGGGAUUAACCCAAUAACGGCAGGCAGGAGAAGAUAUUGUUAUACAUAGGAAAAAAAAAAAAAGCUUGUAAAAAGGGUCCUUCAUAUGAACAAGAGACCACAACAAAUUUUAAUUUCUUUUUUUCGAAAUUUACAAUUUUUUUAGAGAUAGUCCAUAAAUUUUCUUGUUAGUUCUCUUUUUAAGAGCAUUGUUAACAGCAUGGUUAAGUAGGAGUAGAUUUUAUUUUUGUAGAAGUACUUGUAAUUUCACUUUCUCGAUAAAUAUAACGGUUCGACUCAUUCAACAGAGUCUACUUUUGGGUCAAUUGUGAGUAGUUGCGGAAAAACCCGGUUAAGCCGAUCCCUCCUUAACUAAGUCGCUUGGUUCGCUAGUGGCGCACAAGACUCGCGUCCCAAAGAAGAAACUAACUUGGUCAACGCCCUGAUCCGGUCAGCCUCCCCUCGCAUUCAGUUUCUAGCCUAGUAAUUUUUGCCACGCCGAGUGGGACCCGCUCAGGUACAUCCUAAUCUUUCCUAAAUGGCUGACGAUAACACAAUAAACCUCUAAUCCUUAGGGAACAACUAGACCGGUAGCGCCUAAAAUGUGAAUGAGCAUCAGGCGGCGUUACAGUCAGAAUGUGAGAGUAGUGGGCACUCGGCUCAUCAGGAGCCGAGCCUAACUCAAGAACUCGGGCAAAUGAUCCGAGUCCUACAGACUCUGUGUAGCACACUGAACUUUAGUAAAUUGCACGGUUCUAGUAUAAUAAUAGUAUUUUGUACUAUUCUGGAAGUUUUGAGAGUUGUUGGAUGUGCGUCAGCCUAUUUCUGGAGCUUGUUAGGCGCGAUAAUAGGUUCCCAACAUCUAAAUCUGCAAAUUGCAGCAUUUGUGUAGAGUACCGAAACUGGAAUGAGGUACCGGAACUCAGUUGAGUGCCAGUUUGGGCAGCUCUUAGGUUCUGCAAAACCAAGUGGUGGGUACCGAUAUUGGGCUGAGUACCGGUACUACAUUGGGCUGGCCGGAACGCAGUUAUAAACCUGAAUUUCCAACCUUCAGAUUUCACGGGACUGACCUUCGAGUACUGAUACUGACCGCCGAGUACUGGUACUCAAUGCCGUGUACCGGUACUCAAUGCCACAAAACCUAUUUCAUGCAGGAUGCAAUUUCUGUGUUUUGGAGGGGCUUUUGGGAUAUUGUUACAACUUGUAUAACAUGUCCCUCACCCCCUCAUUUCCCUCUCUUGCUGGUUGAUGUUAGAGGAGGAGAGGUGAGUUUUUCCUCUUUUUUCUCUUGAAUUGCUUUUCUUUAUCCUCAAAUUUUUGGGGUUUGAUCUCUUUUCUUCCUCUCCUCUUUGCAUGCAAGCACCUUUAUCUUAGAGGGGAGCUCGGGAUUGAAGAGAAGAGCUUCUUAGAGGAUCAAACUUCAACCCUAGCACUUCAUGGCUUGAGUUGGAGCUUAGUUUGAGGUGAGUAACUCCUUGUACUCUUGAGAGAUUUGCAAGAGAUUUUUAGUGGAAAACCUAGUUUUGUAGAAACUAGGGUUUGUUUUGGAGCUUUUCUUUUGAGAGCUUUUUGGAUGGAAUUGAUAAGUGUAGAACACUCUUGUAGGUUGGAUUUGAAGCUUUUUAGCUUUGAUUUGGACCUUGAACAAGUGUGUCACGCCCCGGGGUCCCCUUUUAGUUUGAAACACAGCGGAAAAGCGUUUAAAUUUUUUUUUUUGAAAACCUGACCCCAGAGUAUGCCAGAUCCGCCACAAAUACAGGGAAUCCACUGUUCACACGGACAGAGUCUCCCCUGUAUUUGCACGGCGUCACACAAGUACAAAAGUACAAACAGUAUACAACCACAACUAAAUGAAUAUACAGAUAGCUAUACAUUCAUACAUUCACCAUUCACACCGUAGUUUUACAUUCGAUGUUUAAACAAAAGUCCACGAAAAAUCUUUUGAAAACUGUUCCAUACGCGAAAACUUUUAUCUUUUAUAAAAGCUACCACGAGGGGUAGAAAACCUUUUAUUUUACCAAAUCCAGAAAUCCUUUUAUUACAUUCAUGAAAGUCCACAUAUUCCAAUGUAAUAAAAAUACUGAACCAUAUAAACUGACUAAGCUAUAACAACAGAAUAGUAGGGAUAAAACUAAACCGAUAACCUGGGUCGGAAGCUCUAUCGACCGCUACGAACGUACCUCACGUCUCGUCCCAAAACUCAACGCCUGCAAUACCUGAAAAAUAGUGGGGGAGGUGAGAACAUGUAAACAUGUCUCCCCUCCCAGUGGGUACCGCAAGCCGAUGAAGGCGAGGAGUACUCACCGGAUCAGGAAGAGCUAAACAACAGUACGGGUCAGUAGAAAAUACAGUAGCAAUAAUAAUGAAUGAAAGAGACAUAUAUAUGAAAGAAAGUACAACUACCGCUACUGUAAUGAACAACUGAGUGUAUACAUGUAACAAGACUAUAGUAGCAAGACAAUGUAACGAAAGAACUACAAGUAUGUAUGCAUCAACCACUACUAUAGCUAUAUACAACAACCGGACAAGUAGUCCAAAAGUACCCAAUCUAAACCGCCGUGUCGGUCUAAGGACCUCAGGCAAAAGCCACUACCUGCUCGCACCUGGCAUGUAACCCUAGCACAAAGAGAACACCGCUGGGCUCACGGGUCGGAUGUACGACCACUUUUCCGGAAAAGAACACCCUCCUGCGGGGGAUCAACCCGCUGGUGUACGUGAAAUGCACUCGAGCUGUGGCGAUCAAUGCGGAUAUGAUCAAUAGCCAAAUGUCGGCAACCAGCCGACAAUCACCGCCCCUCGGGGCAAACCGACCAAUAGGUCAUCAAACUAUAUAGAAGCACAAGAACCGACUACUCAGGUCAACUAAGAGGGAACCACUCAACAUCCUACCGAAGGUAUACAAGCACUGACUACUAAUGUCAACUAACAUAUAUGCACGACGAACCGACGAAUAGGUCACCAGAGUAUAUCAAUAGAAUCCCGAAUUACCGUCGGCCACUAGCCGACAAUCCAACCCCUCAGGGUACACCGACCUCAUAGGUCAUCAAACGACAGGACUCACGAAGCUGACUGACUAGGUCACAAAUAUGCCAAAUAGUGGAACUGUGUAAACUAUAAUCAUCCGUCGGUGCUAACCGACAAUCCCACCCCUUAGGGUAUACCGACCUCAAGGGUCAUCGAACGAUGUACGAGAACCGACCAAUCAGGUCACCGAAACGAAGUACCAGAACCGACCAACCAGGUCAACAGAUACAGAAUGCAACAACCAACCAACUAGAUCAACAGAUACGGAAUGCAACAACCAACCAAUUAAGUCAACAGAUACGCAUAUAGAUAGAACUGCUCUACUCCUACUCGGGAUACUAAGCAUGCAAACAACGAGUAGUGUAUAACGAAUAAACAAGGGUGCAAGGCUCAAUAUACUAUGCGAUAGUAACAACAGAAGAGUAAAGGUAAGAAACCAUCACCGAGCGUGCACCACUGUACCGACGUCGGAUCGAAGUACCCACCUGUACAAAUGCUGCGCCUGUCUCCUGACUGCAAAAGGACGUCAACCGGACCUAAGGAAGGUCCACCGGGUUAGUGUCUAACCCACAGCUAAUAACCACUAAAUCCACAACCUACAAGCAAACCCAUGGAGAUCGGUUUCCCAAACCGAUCGCCGUAAUACGCCGGAAGUCCCGUAAUCGCACGGGGACUCCGCCGGGAGCCACGAACUGUCCCGGAACAUACCGACUCGAGCUACGAGUCACCUGCUGCCACUAAACAUAAAUAAUCGUGCAUCAUGGCAGCGAACACAACUCCUCGUGUCGAAACAAUUAUCGUCGGAUAAUCGUUUCGAUUCGGGUUCCCGGAAGUGUCUAAUUCGACACCGGAACCCACCGUCGCUCACCCGUCAUUUCCGAACUCUCGAAAUGACGCAAGUGACCAGCCAACAAGGCUCAGCGACUACGCAAAAGCUCACGAAGCACCGUCGGAAUAAUUCCGAACCGAACCCGCGUUCCGUCGGCGGAUUUCGCCGAAAAACGCACCGGAAAUGCAUUUUCGAUCUUCGCAAGGGUCUGGGGCCUUGGACAAUCAGUCCAGAGGUUAUCCUCAACCAACACUUGCUGCCAACAGCAGCUACGACGAACCAAAAUGCAUAAAAGCCCUCCUGAAUACCUGAAAUCGCAUUAUUUCAUGCGAUUUCGGCGCUUUUAUGGUCCGACAACGCAAACCAGAGGUCAAACAGCCAAGACGAGACUCCCGCUGACUGGUCUCGGCGUGCCGGAGGCCGUGCUCACCUUUCGGAGCACUGCCGGCCACUGUGGCACGCGCACGGGCGACGCAAAAUUAGUGAAACAGCGCGCACAGUAGGAAAAGCAUGCUUAUCUCGCUAACCAGGGGCUCGUUGACCCUAAGUGAGGUGAGCACUGUGAUCAGGACUGACUGACGAUCACCGUGCUCACCUCCGGAGGCAUCGGAACAGCCUCAGGUCGCCGGAACAGUGAGUAGAACAGGAAACACUGCGCAGAAAGGCUGAAAACAAGCUUACCGGCCAGGGGAGAGCUAGGGUUGGCCGCCGGUGGCUGGACGGCGGGCGGCCCGGCCAGGGGAGGGUGCGGCCGGUCGGUGGAGUCCGGGGCACCUGCUGGCCGGCGGCGGGAGGCGGCCAGUUGCGCGGCGGAGGAGAUCAACUCGAUCUCUUGCUCUCGGGUUCAAUGCUUCCCGGCGGCGUGGCGGCGGUCGGAGGAGGUCGGGGCGGCGACGGUACGUCGGCGGAGGUCGAGGAGGAGGUGGUGCGCCCCACUGUGGGCGGCGGCGACGCGCGGAGGCCACUAGGGCUCCGCCUCGGCCCGCACCAGGUCUGGGCGGCCGCAGGAGCCGCGAGCGACGGCCGGCGGCCUCGGGGACGGCGAGGAUCGCGUGCGGGAGGUCCCCGGAGGUGCCAGGAGGGCGGCGCGGCCAGACCAGAAAGGCGGCAUCGCGAGGGGAGGGAGGUUCCACAGCCUCGGCCAGAUCUGCUCAGAUCUGGCCGCAACUUGCCGUGGCGGCGGCGGCGGCGCUCGGGGCGACAGGGACGGCGCCGAGGGGGGGGGUGAGAUUCUGCCAGAGGAUGGUGGUGCUCGGGCUCACAAGCUUCCCCGAGCACAGCAGCCAACAAGAUGCAAGUCGGGGCCCGGAGGAAAAUCGAGAGGAGGCCGGGGUGGCUCUUCCGGCGGCCGGACGAGCUCGCCGGCGGCCGGGACGCGCGCACAAGUUGGGCGGGGACCAGCUGAGGUCGGCUAGGGCUAGGUAGGGAGCACGGUUGCAGGGUCUAGGGUUCCUCAUGGAUGAAACCCUAGGAAUACAAUAUAAACAACGGCCACUUUGCACCAAAGUCCUCCGAAACAGAAAAUUUGCAACAGAGACCUUCACAGCGCGAGUAAAUCGCGUGUACGCACCUCCACGUCCGACCUCGUGCGAUUCGGUACAUAAAAUAUGGGGACUUUUGCGAAGUUUCCGAUUUGCCACAAUCGACCCCUCUCCGAACAUCAUGCAAAAUCCGGCAAUCCGUUCAUCGGAUUUCCGAACGGAUUGCACCAUCGCGUUCAGCACGACGAAGGCAAUGAAACUAGAAUUUGUUUCGAUCGAUUUUGUUGCCGAUUCGCGACAAAACCCAACGCUCUCCAAUUAACACAUAAAUUACACAUAUACCAAUGUGUAAACCCAACAAAACCCAUUUCGCAUCAGAAAUGGACUUCCCUACUACAAGUAGGGACCCAAAACAACCUUCACCCUACUCCAGGUCGUAAGCACGAAACACAAGGAGUUUCACAAUGCACGAAAGGCAAGGAACGAAAAUCAUCUUUUUGAUAAAACUCCUUUUUCUCGAAAACCGUGCAUCAGAUCUGAAAUCCGUCAGUGCCAUUGGUUCCAAAACAGCUGAACCGGUCGAAACGAGCUAUUGGACUGAUAUGAAUGGAGUCCGAUACGCGCCAGAAGCCAACUCUACUCCGUGGCUUCUCCGGAAAACCAGAGUUACUAUUCACUUAAGUGAAAACUAAAAGUCGCGUAUCUUCUCCAUUUUAGCUCAUUUUCGCCCGAAACUUGACGAGUGCUUAUGUAAUUAAAUUACACACAUAAACAUCAUCAACAGAGAGUUUAGUAGCACUGUCAAAAAUCUCAGUCCUUACAAAGUGCUACUUGAUCAAAGGUAAUUUUUACCUAUUUUUCUUUUGAUUUUUGGUGAAUUUUAUGGUGAGCUUGUUUGAAGCUUGUAACCCCCUUAGAAUUUUUCUUAGGGUGCUAGGAGUCUUGGAGACAACUUCAUCAAAGAAUCGAAUGAGGUUUCGGAAGCUAUCCAGUGGGUUUGACCUCACCGAAAUGGGUGAACUCCUUCUAUGUCUUCUAAAUUGCUAUAAGACAUAAAUUGAUGCAUAUCCAUGCUAGUUAUGACAUGGUCGAAUAUUCGAACCCAUGAUACACUCAUGUUAUAUAUAGAAGUGUUGGAGCCGAAAUUCCCCGACCCUUGACCUAGUCAACGAUCUCCCUCGGGAAGUGCGUCGGGAUGCGAGACGGCUGCGAAAUAUGACCCUCGAAGUUUGCGCCCUUCGACAGAUCAAGCGAUUCGGCUGAUGAGGGAUCGGAUCAGCCGGGUUCAAAGCCUUUAUAAGAGAAUCGGUUCGGCUGGGAUGAGCCGAAUACUUGAAUCAAGCCAGAAAGCGUGUAGAGAGAGGAGCCGAAUGGCCAAAACAACACAAGAUCUGGUCGGCCGGAAGAGCCGAAAAUAACUUUCUAUUAAAUAGAACUGGGGAAUGUACAACGAGAUGGGUUUUAGUCUACAAUGGAGUGAUGCCCAAAGGGCAGACAGACUCCGGGUCGCUAAGUUACAGGAACUACUCCUAGGAAAAACAAGUAAAUGCGAGAAAGAAAGAUGCGAAGAAAUAAAGGUGGUCUUUUGUGCGCAGGGACGAAGACCUCUUUUCAAAGUAUCAUUGACCUAUUUAUAGAAUCGCCCCUGAUUCGGUUAUUACAUGAUCAGCCACUACCUCCUAAAAUCUCGGACCACCUUCAGCCGAUCGAACCGCUCGCAACUGCUUGCGGUUGCUGUAACUUCCUAUUGGCAUGACGGUUUUCUUCUUUACUUUUUCGGUGCUCCUGGUGCACGAUUAGAUUAAUGCCUUUGAAGGCGAUUUCCGUCUACUACCUGUCUGCGCCUAUUUGGCUCAACAAUUGCCCCCUCUGCUGCUUUCGAAGCAACGCUACGAUAGCUGGCGUAAUCUGAGACGCGAUUACUUUUCGAAUUCUUAGUGUUGGCUUCAUCUCAGUUGUCCCUUUUUUGCUGCCGAAAUCCUGUAGUUGUUUCGAUAAUAAGCGCGAUCCGAGGCGUCAUCCUCGGUCCAAUCACAUUCAAAAAAUCUCUGUACCAGUACGAUACGUAAUUCGAGGCGUGACCCUCUGUACAGUUCGAUCUUAGCCGUUUAUUUUCUUUCUUACGGCCCGAUCUCAAUUUUCAUUUUGUCUCAUCUGCGGCAUUAACUAGGUUAUCUUAAUUACCGCCGUCUACUCAUCAUUAAAGCCAACCUCGAAACUCGCUUCGAUGCGACGAUUCGAUACGACGACCUUUCUUCUUCUCCAAGCUUUUACCUUUUUGUCUCUUCUACUCCUUCUUCGUCUUCUAGGAAACUCUUCUUUCGCUUCCCUUUCCUUCAUCUUUUUCGAUUUUAUUUUCCACUUAACUUUUCCUCUUUUCUUUUCGACUAAUGGCGUUGGUUCCGCCUCUUCCUUCUCAUCCAUCCCUGGAUUAUACUAUACUUAAACCCUUCGUCGACUUAGACCCCUCUAGGUUUAUUUUGGGUCCUUCUCUUACAGAAGUGCCAACCCCUAUCGACUCGCCCUUUUCUAGCGACGGUCUCCCCCUGAGAAAAGCUAUUCAUCUUCAGUCUUGGUAUUCCUCUGCUUCAACAGGGAAGAGUCUUCGAACUUGGCCAAGUACUUCAAAGGCGUAUUUGACCUGGUUAGAUCGAGUAGAAGCCGCCUUUGGUGACUUUUGGCGAGAGGUCGGGAUAUAUGAAGCUAUUCAAUUAUCUCAGCAUCAUCCUAUUGCCGAUAAUCUUCUUCUAGCCGCCGCUCUGUGUUUUUGGUCCCCCACUUCUAAUAUUUUUCUUUUCAAAAGAGGACCUCUUACCCCUACUCUUUUUGACGUGGCCGCCAUUACUGGCUUGCGCCCUCAUGGCGUUUCUGUUUUCAUGUCUUACAAUCCUGACGGCGUAUCUGAUUUUGAAGACCGUUUAGACCUCAAUGACUUGGCUUACUCCAAGUUCAUCCGCAAAUUCGCAGGUGAAUCCCCUGCUCCCGUUACUAAGAAUGAACAUACGGCAUUUCUCCUUUAUUGGUUAUGCCAUAAUCUUUUCUGUACCCGUUCACAGAAAAUUAAUCGAGACUUUGUUCCAAUCACUGUUGGUUUGUCUAACGGCGAUAGAUUAGCUCUAGGACCUUACUUUCUUGCCUUUGUCUAUAGAGAAAUUUUUGAUUCUAUUAAAAUAUUACCUUCUGAAGAUGGUAUUGCCAUUAGUUCUGGCUGCGGUGUUUUCUGGUUUCUUCAAAUGUUUUUACAAUUUUAUAUUCCCGCUUUGUGCCAAUCUCCUUUUAAUCCGACUUCGGCUGCCAAUUCGAUUCUUAUGGGUUAGCUCUCGGCUGUCCCUAGCCGAUGACUAUGGGUCAACCCUCUGACUUUCUUACUUAUUUUAAAACUUUUUAUGAGCCGAGUCCUGAAUCGGCUAUUUCUUGGGCUCCCUUUGCUGACCGUCUUACCGGUCCUUCCUGGUUCCUUGCCCGGUUUGAAGCUAUCCGAGAUGAAUUGGCCUCUUCUCGUGCUAGUGAAUACUCAGAGGUCUGGUAUUCUUAUUUGGCUUCGAGAGAUCUUCAUGUGGGGUUGAAAUCGCGCUCCAAACUAUUGCCCAGCACUGAAGUUUACUCUCCUCAAUAUGUGGCCCGUCAAUUUGGGUUUGUUCAGCCGAUUCCUGCUCCAUCUAAAUUUUUACAACUAAUACGGCCGAUCAUCGCCCCCUACUAAAAGUAUAGCCGAAGCUGACAAGAUUUCAGCUAUGGGGAAUCGCCUUCGUCGAUUCUUUAAAUUAGUGAGCUUCAGGCCAAACUACACAGGAGUUGCUCUUGCUGGUUAUGCUACUAUCUGGGACCAUUUUACGGACCGUAAUCUCGACCUUUCUCUUCUUCGGGCAUUCCGAAGAACUAUUCAUCCAGUUGCUUCAGCUGAUCCUCCUGUCCCAUCAUCAAGAGAAGAAAUAGAAGAGCCUUCUGAGGUCAGGCCUCUUUCUUUUGUAAUGUAUUCAUUUCUAUUUCAACUUUCUUUUCAAUAUUCCAAAUGCUUAUUUUCUUUUCUCUGCAGUCAACUCCAAUUUCUUCAUCGGUCCCAGCUUCAGAAAAAAGACCGAUUGAGACCGCUCAAUUUACUCCUCCGCCGCCCUCAAAACGGCGUAAGUCAGUUGCUAAAAGGUCUUAUUCUACACCUGCCGAAGGUAUUGCUUCGGCUGAUGUUUUAGAGAAAAAAGCUGAAGGAACGCCUUCGGUUCCUAUUCCCGAAGAAACACCUUCAGUUGAUGUUUCCAAACAAGACUUCGCUCUCGAUGAGCCCAUUGAGAUUGAGGUAUGUAUACUUGAUUAGUUACUUUACCUCAUAUUAUUUUCUCAAUUCGUUUAUCAUUCUUUUUAAUAAAACAGUCUUCUCCCGAAAACAAUUCAAGAGCUCGUUUUGCUUCUUCUUUGUAGGCGCAAAUGGAUAGACAGCUUCGUCGGAAAGCACGUCUUGAAAAGAAACGAGGCAUGGAAAAGAAGACAUCCGUUGCAAAGGCGAGCACGAUGCCAUUACCAGGUGAAAUUAUAUCACCUCCUUCUGCCCCAACCCCAAUUACAAGAGAUGACAUAGCAAAUAUACCUGUCACACAAGGUCCUGGAGAAGCGCAAGGCUCUAGAGAAACAAGUACCGUACCUCCUCCUCCGAUUCAUGUGACUUCCCCUUCUGCUCUUGAGGAUUCUCUAACUGCUACUCUUCAUUCUUUACUGGUGUCAAGUCCCAGUUCCAAUGAGGGAGAUGAUUCUUCGACUAUUAUCUCAUCAAACACUCAACAUAAAUUUGACGAAUGUCUUAGAAUAUAUAGCAAUGGUCCCCCCUGUUUGGCUCAAAAUCGAGAGCUACUUGAUCGGCUGUACGCUUUCUUAAUCGACUUGGCCGAACAAACAGAUAUUACUUCUAGUAUUAGAUGUUUUGUAGAGACUUUGUCAUUUCAACUUUCUUCUUUUUUGGCUCGGCAACAAUCUUUGGGUGCCGAUCUCUUAUAUUUAGAUCAACAUUUUCAUUGCGUUGAUCACUUUAAGAGGAAUAUCCCUGAAAUAGCUGACCUUAUCACUGAGAUAAAUCAUGAGGAUCAGACUUUAGCCGAUCAAGAAUCGGCUUUACAACAGCGGAUUUCAGCCCUUAAAGACGAGUUAGUAGCAGCCAAAUCGACUUUAGCCCAAACCUCUGAGCGUCGGCUUCAAUUGCAGAGCCAAUUAAAGGCUAAAAAAGCAGAAGGAAAGAAAAUUCAGGAAGAGCUUUCUCAGCUCUAUAAGGUGCAUCCUUUGAUGAAGCGUCGAAGAAAAGCUGCCGAAGCCGCCCAAGCCAACCUUAUAGCCGAAUGGAACCAACUCAAAGAUUUGUUAAUUUGAUUCGGCUUGUAAUGUUUUAACUUUGACUUUGAUUAUUUUUCCACAUAGAUGGAUAAUAUCUCUUUAAAUAUUUUUCGUUAAUUGGUUUUUCAUUUUCUGACCCAUCUCUUUUCCGCAAAUAAUAUGCAUUUUCUCUUGUGAUUCGACUGACUUGAAAUGGUCCGUCCUAAUUUGGAGACCAUUUUCCAUAUGUUCGGUCUUUUUGACCGAUUGGAAAAAUCAGCUGGAGUACUAAAUCACCGACGACAAAUGGUUUUGAUCGAACUCUCUUAUUGUAUGCGCUACGCACUCGGCUUUGGUAUGCUUGCAUAUUAUCUAAAGCCAUCAACCGAGUAUCAUAUACUUCCUCUACCUUGUCCUUCAUCAAAUUACUAUAUUCAUCAGCCGACAAAUCUUUUUGUUUUUCUGUCCUCAAAGAAGAAACUGUUAUUUCGGCUGGAAUUACGGCUUCAUGUCCGUAGACUAACUGGAACGGUGUCAUCCCUGUUGCCGUUUUCACUGAAGUUCGGCAUGCCCAUAAAACUUCGAAAAGUUUUUCAUUCCAUUUUCUCGGAUGCUUUCCGAUAUGUCGUUUCAUCAAGUUGAUGACUAUUUUAUUCGCUCCUUCUACUUGUCCGUUCGCUUGGGCAUAAUAAGGAGAUGAAUGGAGUAAUUUUAUUUUUCGAGACUCGAUGAACCGAACGAACUGUCCUCCUGUGAACAUUGUUCCUUGAUCGGUCGUAAUUGUCUCGGGAAUCCCAAAGCGAUGAAUUAUAUGAUCUUCUACAAAAUCGAUAACUUCUUUUUGGGUAACCAACCGAGUGGGUUUUGCUUCCACCCACUUAGUAAAAUAAUCUACGGCCACUAUUAGAAAUUUGUGACCAGUCGAGGAGUUCGGCUGAAUUUCUCCAAUCAAAUCCAUGGCCCAACCUCGAAAAGGCCAUAGUUUAAUGAUUGCAUACAUCUCAGAGGCCGGAACUCUCUGGAUCGAGCCGUGAACUUGGCAAUCCUGACAACCUUUGGCAUAUUUUAUGCAAUCUUGAUGCAUUGUUGGCCAAUAAUAUCCUAAAUGCCGAAUUGUCCAUCUUAACUUUUUUCCGGCUAAAUGAGUUCCACAUAUUCCUUCAUGUGUUUCUCCCACUAUCAAUAGAGCUUCUUCAGGUCCUAAACACUUUAAUAGAACCUCUUCGGCUGCUCUUUUGUAAAGUUGACCGUCUAAUAGACAAUAGCCGAGAGCUCUUCUUCGGAUAUUAUAAUCGACCCUUGUAUUAGGAUCCUCCAGAUAUUUGAUUAAUAAUUUUCCCCAAUCUUCCUUCAAUUCUAUGGGAGCUAUAAUCGGCUCUCGUAUGUGAACCGAAGGUAGCAACCUCCUCUGUAUUACUAUUGAUUCUAACUUCGGCUCUCUAUAUCCUGAAGCCGAUUGAGCUAGUUCAUUAGCCUUUUCAUUUUUUUGUCUGCUCAAAUGUUUGAAUUCAGUCUCUCUGAAUUCACAUAGCAACUCUAAUGUCUUUCUUAAAUAAUUUUGUAAAUUUGGGUUUCCACAUCGGUAUUCCCCAUUCACUUGUUUGAUUACUAAUUGUGAAUCACCGAUGACUUUGAUUGAUUUUGCUUUCAAUUCUUGUAGAAUUUCUAGGCCAAUUAUUAAGGCCUCAUAUUCGGCUUGAUUGUUAAAGCAGCCGAAAUCUAGCUCGAAAGCAAAUUGGCAUGAAUACCCUUCAGGAGAUUGGAUAACUAUUCCAGCUCCUGCUGAUUCGGCUGUUCUUGAGCCGUCAAAAUAAAGUGUCCAAGGCUGACAACCGACUAAAUUUUGCUUCGGUUCUUCUAAUUCCACACAUGGAUGAUCAGCCAAGAAAUCAGCUAUCGCUUGUCCUUUAACGGCUUUAGCCGGAAUAUAAUUAAGGGAGAAUUCAGACAAAGCCAACAUCCAUUUUCCAAGCCGACCUCUUAAUACAGGUCUAGCCAACAUAUACUUUACGAGGUCGGUUUUACAUAUUACCGACACCUCAGUCGGUAAAAUAUAGUAUCUUAGCUUUGUGAAUGAAUAAUACAAAGCCAAACAUAAUUUUUCAAUAGCCGAAUAUCGUUUCUCAGUAUCUAGAAAACGUCGGCUUAAAUAAUAAAUGGCUUGUUCUUCUUUUUCUUCAUUUUUUUGGGCUAACAAACAUCCCAAAUUCUCCUCUGCAGCUGAUAUGUACAACUUCAUCGGCUGAUGUAGCUUUGGAGGUACCAGUACCGGCGGAUUCGAUAAAUAUCUUUUUAUAUUCUCGAACGCCUCUUGUUGUUCCUCCGUCCAAAUAAAUUCUUCUUUGUCUUUAAGCCGAAGUAAUAGAGUAAAAACCCCAAUUUUUCCGGCUAAGUUUGAUAUGAACCGCCGAAGAUAAUUAAUCUUUCCGAACAAACUUUGUAAUUCUUUUUUGCUUUUUGGCGGCGGUAAUUCUAAUAUUGCUUUCGCCUUGUUUUUAUCAAUUUCGAUCCCUUUUUUAUGCACUAGAAAUCCUAAAAAAUUUCCUGCUGAAACUCCAAAAGCACAUUUUAAAGGGUUCAUUUUCAAAUUAUAUUUCCUCAUUCUUUCAAAGGCGAGCUUUAAAUCAAUCCAAUGUUCGGCUUGCGACUUGAAUUUUAUGACUAUGUCGUCAAUAUAUACUUCCAAAAUUUUGCCUAUUAAAUCAUGGAAAAUAAAAUUCAUUGCUCUCUGGUAAGUAGCUCCGGCAUUCUUUAAGCCGAACGGCAUAACAACCCAUUCAAAGGUUCCAAACGAAUCAGGGCACCUAAAAGCCGUUUUAGCCAUAUCUUCCUUAGCAAUAUAAAUUUGAUUAUAACCAACAUGUCCAUCCAUAAAGGACAGGACCUCGUUACCGGAAGCCAAAUCUACUAACAUAUCGGCUAUUGGCAUGGAGUACUCAUCUUUUGGUGUGGCUAAAUUUAAGUUCCCGAAAUCAAUGCAAAUUAUAAGUUUACCAUUCUUUUUUCGUACUGGAACUAUGUUAGACACCCAAUCAACAUAACGGGCCGCUCUAAUAAAUCCGGCCUUCAAAAGAUUUUCUAUUUCAUUCUUAAUUUGGAGUACAAUAUUCGGCUCAAACCUACGAGCCGGUUGUUUAAAAGGCUUAAACCCUUUUUUAAUGGGUAGCCUAUGCUCUAUAAUUUCUCGACUUAGCCCAGGCAUUUCUUCAUAGCUCCAGGCGAAGCAGUUCUUGUACUCCUUCAAUAAUUCUUUCAGCUCCUUCUGCUGUUGAGCCGAAAGCUUUGUGCUUAUAUACGUCGGUCUCUUAUCUUCGUCGGAUCCCAAAUUUACUUCGAUCAGCGGGUCUUGGGUCUCCAACUUUUUCUCACCGACUUUGAUAGGCGACUCUUCUAGAUACGAUUCUUCUGCUGGCAUGUUCCUUUCAACUGACUUGUCGGUCUUGGUGACCGACUUCAUUUGAUUUUCUUUUUCAGUUCUGUAAACCGAAUCUAUCAUAACCUUGUCGGCUUUACUAGCUGAGUCAUCAAGUGUUAAUACAUCGGCUGUGGUAGCCGAAUCUUUCUUAUAGCCGAUCUUGUUGAUCGACUUUUCCUGUCGAGGCUCUUGACAAGCCUCUAUUCUCGAUUUUUCGUAUUCCAUUUUAACCACUUUGGUGGCUCAUCGGCUGCCACCAAAGCCCCUUCUUCCCCAAUAAAGAUCAACUGGACUCCUUCUUCUGUAACUCUUACGAAGAAAAUUUGAUCUGGAUCCGUGUCGGCCCAAUUGAUAUGGCCGACUUCCUCGUUGUUGAUGUCCACCAUUUGGGGACGUCCCUCGACGCGGAUUUCUUCGACUUUAUCUCCGAUCCACUGGAAUAGUUUCCCGUGGAGUGUAGAAGGCACGCACUCGUUUGCAUGAAUCCAAUCACGCCCGAGUAGUAGGUUGUAUUGACCAUCUGUAUCAACCACAAAAAAUGCCGUUCAUAAAGUUUUAGAACCUACCGUGAUCUCGGUCGUAAGGACCCCUCGAGCUUGCUGACUGCUCCCAGUAAAGUCGGUCAUGAUCGUGUCUGUGGGUUUCAACUCAUCUUCGUCUUUGCCCAACUUCUUGAAGAAUGCAGUGGGCAUGACAUUAACCAUAGCCCCGCCAUCUAUCAUUACUCGGCCUACCGGCCGACCUUCAAUUAAGGCCCGAAUAAAAAGAGGCCUCACGAAUCUUGUUUGCAUGGUCGAUGGCUUCUCGAAAAUCACCAUAUCGGCCAGUUUGACGUCUUCCAAUUGCAAUUGGGCUACUUUGAGCCCAUCUUCCUCCUCUUAUCUAAACUCUUCAUACUCAAUAAGCUCUGCCUUAAAGGAUUGAGGCAAAGCAUAUACCAUAUUCACCUCAGCCGGCGACUCUUCGGCUGAUUCCCUCAGUUCUUUGCUUCUUUUCCUCCGACUCCUUCGUCGUCUCGGCUGAAGAGUCACUCUCCAUCUGGACCUCCCUUUCUUUAGGGGGCCAUCUUUCUCUCUUGAUCAUUGUUUCGAGGGAAGCUAUUUUGUCUUCUAACUCCCUCCUGCUCAUUUUUUCUUCUGACUCGACCUCGAUUGGCCGUUCUAUUCUUGACUUCAUUCGAGGGGCAGGCGAUGAGCCGCCUGCCUCAUGGUCUUUUCUCAUUGGGCGAGAAGGAUGUGAUUGUUCAUCUGGGUGCCUCCAAACAUUGAGCCUUAUCCCUUUCGCUUUUUCAUAAUGUUGUCUUGCCUCGGCUUGCAUUCUCUGCUGCCGACGCUUCUGAGUUUUUGUCAACAUCGGCCCCUGCCAUCUGGCCGAUGGUUUAACCUCAACUUCGUGCCAUUCAUCCACUAGCACGUUUGCCGGUACCUUUACUGUCCUCAGAUGAUUUUUUAAAAUUUCUCUUCUCUCCCAAGGUCUCGGCCAAGGCUGAAUGCCUAACUCAUUAACUAAUCUUCGACCGAGGAAUUCUAUGUCUCCCUCGGUCAUUCCCUCGAAUUCUGGUUUUGAUCUCGGCCUUGUUUGAUGUUGCCAAUGUGGCCGAUAUCUAGGAAUCCUUGGCUUGGUGCCGAAAGGUCUACCCUGGUAGUUCCAUCGGCCUAGACGCUCGUCACGCCUGUUGUUGUAGUAAUCAUGCAGAAUCUUCUGCAUUAACAUGUCUUGUUUGCGUUGAACCGAUUUCACUUCCGGUUCAGUGUCAUUGGAGGCUGCAUUCGAGCCUUCUUCUUCUUGGUCUUCACCAUCAGGAAUGUCAUCCCAAUCCUCAGGGAACGCCAUCAACUCAUUCCAUUCGUUCCCCCUUUUCUUGGCAUUCACAAUGGCUUCCCAGUCUUUUUUCGUCAUUUCGGCCUUGCACCUGAUGCAAAGCCGAAGAUGCUUUUUGGCAUGGGCCACGUUGUCAGCGGUCUCCUUGUCCAAAACCUCUUUUUCUUUAACAUUCACCAUAUUAACCAGAAACGGAAACGAACUUUUGUUACUUACUUUAUUUUCGUUUUCCUGGUCGGCUAAUAUGAGCCGACCCUCAUCUAUUUCUUCUUGGAUCUGCCUUUUCGCAGUCGCUUUUCCUUUCCCUUUCAUGUUCACGACGUUGACUUGUGAUGGAAAAGGAUUCUUAUCAAUUUCCAUAUCCCUAUUUUCUUGGUCGGCAAAUAUCAGCCGACCCUCAUUUAUCUCUUUUUGAAUUUGCCUCUUAAAGGCAGUACAUUCACUAGUUUUAUGGCUCUAUGAAUGGUGCCAUUUGCAGUAUCUUCUGCGUUUCAGUUCUUCUACAGGAGGUAUAGUUUGACCCUCCUGUAGUUUAAUUCGUCCGUCCCUUAGCAAUCGAUCAAAAAUCAAAUCGGUUUUUGCUAUAUCAAACGAAUAACUAAAAGCAGACACAUGUGCUUUCGCCUCUCUUGACUUGGCAGGCUUUAACAGAGCACAUUUGUAUGGUUGGUUGUUUCUCACCAUUUCGGCAGCACAAAUUUCGGCUUCAUCAGCCGAAUCCUCAUUUUCCUCAGACGAAUUCGGCUCUUCAUGAGCCAAAGACUCUUCAAGAAAAGAGAUAUUUUUCUCCUUUCCUUUAUUCCAAUCUUUGUUUCGGCUCCAUCUGGGCCGAUCCUCAUUAUUACAUUUUCGAAAUUGCUCAUAUUGAGCAACUUGAACUCCCAAAUCAAAGAGAUUUGAAAAGAAUUUAUCCUCAAAAUAAUCUUUAAUUUUGAAAUGCAUGCCGUUGAAUGCCAUUUUGGCAAACUCCGAUUCCAGCAUUCUCACAAAACAACGACUUCUAGCAGUUUUGAAUCGGUUUAAAUAUUCAUCAACCGAUUCUCCCGUUCUUUGUUUGAAUUGAGCCAAAUCCUCUACUGAUAGUUCUGGCUCAGUUCUAUAAAACUGUUCAUGAAAUUUACCUUCUGACUCAUCCCAAUCUCGGACCGAGUUAGCAGGUAAACUCAUGUACCAGGUAAACGCUGUUUUAGUCAAUGAGGUAUUAAAUAACCUCAACUUUAAAAAUGGAUUUGCCGCGGCCUCACGGCACUGAGCUGUAAACCGAGCAACGUGCUCGCCCGUAUUCUCGGUUUCGUCGCCGGAAAACUUGUCAAACUUCGGUAUCUUCCAAUUUGCCGGAUAUGGGUGUUCUAUAUCUAUGUUUGCAGGAUAUGGUGACCUGAAUACGGGCCACAUUGCCGGCCUUGCGCCUACUCCGAAAGUAUUCCGGAUGGCUUCUUCUAUUUGCGCAUAGAUUUCAUUAUUAAUCCCCUGCAAAGGCGGUUGCGCUGGUACUGGGUUUGGUGGGAGUGGAACUCUAAUGUUUGGUACUACGGGAUUAACCCCUUGCACAUUUGGAGCUUGCCCCCUAGCCCCUGCAUUCUGAGGCUGAUAUACUGCUACUGGAGGGGGCGGAGGUAACCCUCAAGCUAUUUCUUGCUGUUGACCGGCAUGACCGACAGCCGGUCUAUAAGCCGCUUGAUAUGGUGCCCCCUGGUAUUGGGGCUAACCACUUAUUGGUGUUACUGGAUUUUGUAACACCGGUGUCAUCACAGGCACUUGUAGGCCUGCUAUCGGCUAUUCAUUCCGAGUUAACAAUUGCCCUAUUCGGGCAAUGUUCUCGUUAGAGGCCGUAAUUGCGGCCAAGACGGCAUCCAGCCGUGCAGUACUUGCAUGACUAUUUUGGUCCAAAGUUUGAAGGACCCGAGUCAUUUGGCCAAGCGCCUGGGUCAAACUAGGCUUCUGUUGGCCAGAUUGACCACUGGUCUCACCCUCAGCGGGUAGGACUGCUUGGCGUUCUAUCACAUUUUUUGAAUUACUGGGUUGUUCACUCCCGGAAUUUCUAGGGAUAGCCCUAUAACGAAGAUUCAUGGCGUUAUCAUCAGCCAUACUUUAAAUGCAAAUUUACCUUAUGUUGGGGUCCCACCGGGCGUGCCAAAAAUUUGUUGGAGCCGAAAUUCCCCGACCCUUGACCUAGUCAACGAUCUCCCUCGGGAAGUGCGUCGGGAUGCGAGACGGCUGCGAAAUAUGACCCUCGAAGUUUGCGCCAUUCGACAGAUCAAGCGAUUCGGCUGAUGAGGGAUCGGAUCAGCAGGGUUCAAAGCCUUUAUAAGAGAAUCGGUUCAGCUGGAAUUAGCCGAAUACUUGAAUCAAGCCAGAAAGCGUGUAGAGAGAGGAGCCGAAUGGCCAAAACAACGCAAGAUCUGGUCAGCCGGAAGAGCCGAAAAUAACUUUCUAUUAAAUAGAACUGGGGAAAGUACAACGAGAUGGGUUUUAGUCUACAAUGGAGUGAUGCCCAAAGGGCAGACAGACUCCGAGUUGCUAAGUUACAGGAACAACUCCUAGGAAAAAUAAGUAAAUGCGAGAAAGAAAGAUGCGAGGAAAUAAAGGUGGUCUUUUGUGCGCAGGGGCGAAGACCUCUUUUCAAAGUAUCAUUGACCUAUUUAUAGAAUCGCCCCUGAUUCGGUUAUUACAUGAUCGGCCACUACCUCCUAAAAUCUCGGACCACCUUCAGUCGAUCGAACCGCUCGCAACUGCUUGCGGUUGCUGUAACUUCCUAUUGGCGUGACGGUUUUCUUCUUUACUUUUUCGGUGCUCCUGGUGCACGAUUAGAUUAAUGCCUUUGAAGGCGAUUUCCGUCUACCACCUGUCUGCGCCUAUUUGGCUCAACAAGAAGUUUUCAUACUCUGUACAGUAGAGGCUUAUAAUGUAGUUUUGUACACUAAAUAACAUGUAAUUGCAUUUUCCUCUUAUGCAACAUUAGAAUGCAUGAUAGAGAUGAAUAAAUGAAUGUCCUAAGGGACCUUACAAGGUUAGUGAAUUAUUGAGUUCAACUUGCAUGAUAACCAACAUACUUGUUUUAGACAAGGACAAAUAAGACCUAAUACAUAAUAGAGAUAAAUAGUGAAGUUAAGCAUGUUGCACUUAACUUAGUUGAACAACUAAUUGGGCAUUAUGACAUUGUACUCGACCUCUAGGUCGUUAGUUGCAUUUCCUGUUUAAGACAUGAUGAAAGAGAUUCCUAUGCCUUCGGGCAAAUAAAAAGGGGCAAUUGCAUAUAAUUGCUUAGUUGACUGAUAGAUACUUGCAUGAUGACCAUCAUACUCCAUGUAGUGGAGGCUUGUGUAGCAAGACAUGUACAUGACUUGAAUCAUGAUCUAGUUGACAUUCUCGUAGUUCAUCGAAUAUGACAUUGGUAAAUUGUUCACCUUACACUAUAGUGAAAAUAGUAUACUUAUGAAACCCCAGUUGGGUCAUGUAUGAAAUAGAGAGCCGUCCUUGAUAGGAUAUGGGAGAUGUAAACCAAUCCAUGCAUAGGAUAUGUUAUGUAUCAAUAAACACAUACCACCAAGUUAAUUGAGAAUGAGACUUAAUAUAUAUGAUACAGUACCCGACCUUUGAGUCGAUAAUUGUAAUUCCAUGUUAUAGACAUGAUGGUUUGGAGAUGUGGCCUUAGACCUGAUGCUUAUAAUCACGCUUGCUUGCCAUUGUGCUCAUCCGCACAAGCUUGUGAGGGUCACUCCCUAUAAGCCGGCAUGUCACGCCCCGGGGCCAAUUUUAAAAACUUUUUAUAAUGAAUACCAUUUUUGAAAUCAGAUUUACGAAAAAUGUGCCCUUUUUUUUUUUGAAUUCAACCUAGUCCACGUGACAUACAGACCUGCCACAAAUACAAAGUUCCUCUGUCCACUCUGACAGAGUCUCCUUUGUAUUUGCACGGUGUACCAACAAUAUCAGGAUCACAACAACAACUUACAUUCACCAAUACACAAACAAUAUAUGCGAUGUAUUUCUAUAUAGCUAGCGAUCUUUAGAGAUGAUGCAGGUCUCUAAACACUCCUUAGGCGUUGGAUGAUGCGAUACACAGUACAAUAGUCAUCCUACUUAAAAGUGCCUUCCACCCGGAAGCUUUGUUUUUAAACUCUAUUCAAUCAUUCAUAAAAAAUUAUUCGAAAACCUUUUUAAAACUAUUUUCCACACGAAAACUUCAUCUUGAAAACCGACUACCUCGAGGGGUAGAAAAUUACGAUGUAUAAAUCCAUUACGAAAGAUCCAUAAAUCUCCAAUUAUUCAACCAAUUCCGUUUUCAUGCAUAAUAGGAAAACACCAACUCAAAUAGUUCACAAAUAUACAAACAUUAAUAGUGAUCAUCUAAUUGAACCAUUUAAUUAUUAAAACUACUAAGUGCGGAAAUGAAAUAUAAUCAGGGUGACGGUCGCUACUGCAGUCUAGCUAGCACGUCCUCCCGUCGGUCCAAAAGCCAACUCCUUGCCCGAGUCACCUGGGGAAAUGGGGGGUGAGAAACCACAAUCAAGGUUUUCCGGUGAGUACGACAGAGCCACGAAGGCAAAUCGUAUUCACUAGAAAAUAAAGGAGAUGGAACAACAUAUAUAGUAUGAUAUAAGAGCAACUACAGUAGUAAUAGAAACAUGAUAGUAAAUGAACAAGAACCAAACUACUACUGUAUCAACAACUCAACUGAACAUAUGCCUCAAGGGUAUAUAAUCCAAAUCAAACCCAAUCUGGUGCUACCAUAUUGGUCCGCAGACCUCAAGCGUUGUCUGUCACAGAGUAGACACUAACUUUGAUUCAUGCGUCCACCGACGACCUAUCUGGAUAUGUACACCCCCUAGUAGGUGGCCAAACCAACCGGUGUCUAGAAUACACAGUGCUGUGACUAAAUCAUGCUGAUAUGCUCAAUACGAAAACCGGCAAGAAGACCGGUGCCUUGGUCGAAGCCAAAUAUAAGGGCAUACAACGCCGAACCACGAUCAAUUAGAUUGAAAUACGACAAAGGAGUCAAUGUGUUGCAUGGACCCAAGGUCCAUAGAUAUACUGUAAGAUAAUAGAUCCUCGUCGUGUUAAAUCACUUUUGGUCAAAAUGACCAAAGCGUGACGAGAGAGAUGGGUGGACAUGGUCCAUAUGACAUCCCAAUAAUGUUGGAAGGGCUAAAGUUGAGUCCCGAUGAGGUUAGAAAGGUUUUAGCAUUGCUCGGCGCGAAAUAGAGCUAAGCACUAUCAGAACUGCAGUCUGGGCACUGCGUAUCGAUACUGAGGAAGAGGUACCAGUACCAGGUAGGCAAACCGAGAGGCUUGCUCUCGGGUUUGGUCACUGGGGUCUGCGCACCGAUGACAGCCCUGGUUAGUACCGGUACCCCGCAGCAACCCGAGAACAGCAGCUCUCGGGUUUGGGCUGUUGACCAGGGGCGCACCGGUGACAUGAGCCCGCGUACCGGUACCCAGCGCAGCGGACAGCAGGGUCGGUCUGCUGCAAAUAAAAUAGAUAGGAGGGCUUAAAUUCAAUUGUGGCAGCUUAUAAAAACCCCACAUCCUCUCAUCUCUUGUUCACAGUAGUGAACACCCUCUCCUCUCAUUUUUCUCCCUCUCUCUCUCUAGGAACUCUCCCCCAAGGUGGAUUGGAGGAGAUUGGAGAAGGAUUUGGAGGAGAUUUUGAAGCUUUGAAGGAUCAAGAGCUCACCUACAAGGAGAAGCUUGGAGAGCUUUUGGGCUAAGGUGAGGUUUCUUGCAAGAUACUUGUUAGGGUUUAGUUUUAUACCCUAGAACACUUUGUUUUGAGUCUCUUGCAAGAUUAGAAACCUAUAAAACCCUAGAAAUCCCAUGUUGGAACCAUGGUGUUCAUGGUAUUGAACCCUAGGGUUGGAUUUAGGAUUUUUGUGGAAUUAGGGUUUAUAGUUAAAUUGAUCCUUUGUAAACCUAAUUGAAGGUAAAAUCAACUUCGUGGGCAACUCAAACGGGGGUUCCUACGGGAGUGUGGCACGGUAUUGAGGAAAAAGGGCGUUUUUGCUUCAUUUCCGCCUGACAGGGCCGAAUUUACGUCUAAAAAUUUCAAGCUUCGUAUUCUCACACAUCGGCAUCAUUUGGAGGUGGGGAGUGCUAUCCGAAGCCAUCGGGCUUCAUUCUAUGUCUAUGUUAUAAUGUUAAUCUUGCAUCUCUCAUGUUGAUUAUGCAUUGUAAGAUGUUAAUAGUUGCAUUUCCAUUCCUUAUAUGCUCCCUUGGUUGAAAUAGUAUUGUGAGUUGAACACAUGAUAUAUUGGAUGCGUGAGGAUUGGGUCUUGACAUGGAAUCCUAUAAUGCAGAUAACAAGUGAUGAACUUGAUACAUGCGAUGACAUAGACGAAUGGCAUAUACAAUUAUAUGUGAUGACAUAACGAGUGGCAUAUGAACUAGUGUAGUAGAAACACUUAUGACUUGAUGAAUCUAGGGAUAGGUGAUUUCCCCAAGUUAUGGAUAUAUGGCAUGUGAACUUAGUGUAGUUGAAACACUUGAACAUGAACAUUGGGAUAGAUGAGUUCCCGAGUUGUUGUUAGCCCUAGUGGUAGGGUGUCCUCGGUUGAUGAGGAUUAGAUCAUACUCACAUAGUCUAUUCUCGCUGGCGGUGGUCGCUCCACCCAAGCAGUGAAUUCCGGAGUUAUCACACGAUGGACUAACGUACUUGUCCAGCAGACAGUCUCGGGUGGGUUGUAGCAGCAGAGGCUCCUCACCUAUGGGAUUUGCACUGUGCGUCGGGGCGAACCUUCGGGUUAGCCAAGUGGAUUAGGUAAUGAGCUAAUGGAUGACAUAUUUGUUGAACAUAGUAGCAUGAUAGUUGACUUUAUUAUUAUAUAGUUCUUUCAUUCAUUCAUCUUGAUUGAGGCAUAGUAGCAUGAUUGUAGAUUUUAUUACUAUAUAGUAGUUGCUUUCAUAUCUAUCUAUCUACUUAUGCCUGCUUAGACUUAGUGGGAAGAUCAGCGGAGUCGGCGGCCGAACCCACUGGGAACUAUUAUUAAUUCUCAUCCCACUUUGUUGCAGGGCCGAGUUCGAGCGGACCGGGCGAGGACCAUGGUAAGGGCAUAGCGCCCUAUUUAGCUAGUAGCUUUCCUAUUUGCAUUAGACUCCCUUUUGUACAUGAGAGAUGAUGCAUUUUGAGAGAGGUUACUUGUGGAUGUAUGUAUAUCUCAUGAGAUGGACAUGUAAACACAAUGUAUGUAUUUUGGAGAUGAAAAUGUAAACCAACGAUGUGAAUGGUUAAUGAAAUUGUAAUAGCUAGUAUUUCUCUCUUGUGCUCUUGCUUGUAUCAUAUUCGCAAUGAUUCAUGUAUGUUGUUAUGUUUACCUGGGGAACUAAAUAUACAUGAUCCUUGUUGUUGAGCCUUGGGCGGACAGGGGAAGUUUUGUCCGUUCGGCGUCUAUUCGGCGUACCCAAACCGACCAAAUAGGCGGUUGUGGGGCGUGACAUAUACAACAUAUGCAAGUCUGCUCUACAUGUCUAACAAUGACUAUCAUAAUGCAAGCAACAAGUAUGGAUGAACGAACGAUAAACAAAAACAACCGACAUGUAGAGACUACAAUACUAAUAUAGAAUAACAGAGAAAAGUGAAACGAUCUCACCGACUACUAGCUCGAAGCACCCACCUAUACCGAAAAGAACACUCAGGCUGUCAAACCUCAACAGAUGCCUCCUGGAAUCACCCGAACCUAAGCAUAGUCCCAAACAAAGCCAUACUUAGCUUAAUCAUGUAAAGUACAUAACGCCUCAUACUCGACGUGAUUCUAACCAUUGGACAAUCGGAUUCUCUCGGUUUUCGACCGACGGUCACCGAAAGAUUAUCCGAAAGCCAUACCGAUUGAUUAUCCGAAAGCCACACCGAUUCAACGGAAUGUCUCACCAACCCACGGGGCAACUCGGAGUAACUCUCAUAGCUAUCCUACAUUGCCCGCUGUCCCGAAGCACCACUUUAAUGCCCUUGGGACAGUCGCACAAUAAGUGCGCUAAAACAAGAAAGUCGGGGUCCGAAAGAUAGCCGGUUGACUCCCAGGAUGCCGUAUUUGGUCUCGGAGUUCACCAUGGCCUUCUUGUUGCGACCCUGGGUGUCUAACUAUACUCCAGCAUUCAGCAAAACAACCAAGACUCUACUGCGAAUAGCAGCGACAAAUACGGUGCAAAGGCGCACUUGAAACCGCCCGAAAUUUGCGUUAUUGGGUUCCGUUAAGCCCCAAAACAUGCCGAAGUAUUCCAGAAUUAAUCCCAGCUCAUGUGAUGUCCUAGAACACUCGUUUUUGGGUGUUGGGACAGCCGCACCAUAUUUGGUGCAAGAGCGAUAGAUUUAAAGUGGUUCAUGUCACGAAUGGGGUCCCGUUCAUUACCGUUUUGGCUCCAAAAACCCCCGAAUCGCAAAGCGUCAAUUUGUGAACCCCAAGGACUCACCAACCUCUGCCCAAGAGGUCUAACGCUCACUGCGAACCGCAGCAAUGCAAGUCCUGCAACCAAAGCCCAAAACAAGGCUCCAACGACACCUACAACGUCAAUAAACGCACCGAUUGCCCCCGAUAAUCGAACCAUGGGGUUUUAGGACAUCGAACCCUGAAAGACAGCAUACUACUUCGAUACCCAUGCUGCCAGGAGCAGCCACGAUGUGAAAGCAUCGCUACGACGCAACGAUGCAUGUUUGCGCGCGACAAGCGGCAUCAAACGGACGAUAGCUAUGACAAGUGAGUGAUUAGAGCCUUACCGAUGCUCUAGGAACCUCGAAGACUCAAUGGAGGUGAGAUCCACGUGCUCUAUAAGUGCUGGACUCCUCCCAUAACAGCCCCAAAAGGAAUCGCGUUCGCUCCGCGACGAAACUGCAAACGUUGCCUUACCGCGGCCUGCGUAUGAUAGAUCGUCGCGAUCUGCGAACUAGCCGAGAAACCCUAUGAAUCCAGGUGAGCCUCGUGAUGUAAAGGACCAGUGGGGGAGGGUGUUUACCUCAGUUACGCCCCACGCAGUUCAGAUUUGCCAGGAACGCAGAUCGGCCCAAGACGAUGCUUCGAACGCGGCUGCUGGACUGCUUCUUCGCAGCAGCAGUUUUUCAGGAGUUUGCAGCUAUAAUAUACCAAAACCUCGGUAGGUUGUAUCGAACUUUAGUCAAAUUGACCAAAGUGUGCGAGAGAAAUAGUUGGACAAAGUCCAUUUAACAUUCCAACAAUGUUGGAAGGGCUAAUGUAAUAUACCGAAAAUUCAGAAAGUGAAUAUCGAACUUUAGUCAAAUUGACCAAAGUGCGAGGACGGUACACUUCGGAGAGUCCGAAGGUGUUAAAAUGAUCAAAAGUGCGUUAUGGAAGGUUUUCGAGAGCUAAAGGAUCAAAUUCUGCAAAACUGCAGAUUUUGAGCUCUCGGGGACCGGUCCCUGGUAGGAGAGACCGGUCCCCGAACGCGUAUGAAAUGAGACUGCCGAAAAAUUGGCUAAGUCCUGAGAAACUAGCUCUCGGAAACCGGUCCCUACUUGAGAGACCGGUCCCCGAGAGACCGGUCCCCUAAAGAGAGACCGGUUGCCCUGCGCGCAGCAUCUCUGGCUGCGCGGGGAGAGCCUUCGGGAACCGGUCCCUGAAGGAGAGACCGGUCCCCGCCUGCGCGAACAGCCCAGUCCAGGCUGUGUGAAAGAGUGAAAGUUGAGGGGUUAAGCUGCAAUUUUGCAACCCAUAGAGUAUAGUAAGGGGACAAAUGAGACAUUUCUCUCAUUCUCACCCUCUCACCCUCUCUUCUCUCUAGAAAGCAAAGGAGAAGAGGAAGGAAAGUGGAAGGAAGGAAAAGAAGAAGAAGAAAGUGGAGAAGAAGAGAGAAGUGAAGAAACUCCUCUCCCUCAUCUCUAGCUUGGAAAAGGAGAGCUUACAAGGUAAGCUUUGAACCCUAAUCAUGGUAGAACCUAAUCUAGGUUUGGAUUAACUUAAAAUGGGUUUUAUGGAACUAUUUGAGUAUUUGAAGCUUUUAUUUGUUCUUUUUGAGAUCAAGACCAUAGAAAUGAUGAAGCUUGAAGGUGAGCUCAUCACCCUCUCAUGGUAAAACCUAAGUAGGUUUGAUUUGUCAAAGAUGGUUUCUAAUGGACUUUUAGAGUAUAAUGAAGCUACUUUUGCUUCCCAUUGAAUCAAAACCCUAGGUUUGAUAUAUGUAUUGAAGCUAGGGCACCAAAUUGGGGGCUUUCCAUCAUGGGGAUUUUAAAGUGCAAUUGACCCUCUAAAAACCAAUGAUUUCCGACGCGUUGGUGCGCUCGGAUUAACGUCACGAAAGUCUAUAGAAGAUAAAUGGCAAAUGGCCUAAGUUGGCUUUAUUUUGCCGCAGUGAAGAAUGAGGAACUAUAAAUCUCAAGAAAAUCAUCGAAGCACCUAAAUAGACCUACGAGGUGGGGUGCUUUCCAAACUCGUUGAACUUCUCUCUAUGCCUAAUGUGUAUUCAAUUGAGUAUAUGUUACAUAUUUGUUGCAUGCAUUUUAGGUAAAGUGAUGAUGAGAAUGUGAUGUGCAUGAUUGUGAGUACAACUUGCCUAAUGUAUGGUUGAGAACCUUAUGAAGUAAAACCCCUAUGUGUAUGCAUGAGAGAAAAGUGAGCAACCAAAAUGAGCAAAAGAACAAGUGACACUAUGACAUAGAUCGACGUGGCAUUGAAAACGUAAAAUAAAGUGACACUAGAGUUAUGUGGCCAAAGAACCAAAAUGUAAGAAUGAUGAAAAUGACAAUGUGUAAAGUUAAAUAAAGUGGGGCAAUAAGACAAGAAAUGUAAAGAACAAAAUGCUAAAGAAGCAAAAGUAAAGGAGAAUAAAGAACAACGAUUGCUAGAGUGGCAACAUAAAGUGAAAUAAAGAACACUAGAAGUAGUGUAAAGCCAAUAUUGUACAUAUAAUCCUUUGAUUAAGAUUCGAUCCAUACUUGCUAUGAGUCCGUGCUCGAGGGCGGUCGCUCCCCCUCGGCGAUGCGCUCCGAGUAUGCGUCACGGUUGGAGUAAACCCGAAGGACGGUCCUAGCGGUGAGUUCCUGCGAUGAUGGACUUAAUUGUAAUCAAGUUAAGUGGCGAAACCCCCGGGUUAGCCUUAGAUUAAAGAAUAAAAAAUAAGAACAAAGAGCAAAGAACAAAGAACAAGUGUAAAGAUAAAGAACGAAAGAACUUGCAUAAUCUGCAUAUGUUUAAUGUGAGCAUAUUCCUUGCUUAUUGUUCAGGCAUAUUAGCAUCAUGUUGUAGAUUGUUCAUAUUUCAGCUUAUCCUUUCUAUCAUGCCUGAGUUAGUCCUAGUUGGAAAGUUGGUGAUGUGGGGUCCGACCCACUGGGAACUUUGUUUAGUUCUCACGCCACUAUUUCCACAGAGCCGGGAGCGAGCGACGCCGGCGAGUCGACCGAAGUAGGUAUCGCACUCUUAACAUGAUGCCACCAAGAGUUCGUGAUUGUUUGGGUAGCAUAUUAAUAGAGUUUCAAACCAAGAGAAAUGCCCACUAGAAAGGGAGAACAAACCUACACAUAAGCUGUUUCAUGAGCGUUUGAUUUGAAUGCUAGUGAGGUUGAGAAAACAAUUGUAAUGUGUAUUUUGAGGUAAAUGUGAUGUAAGAAAGAAAUGAUGAAAUGAAAUGUAAGGAAUUCGAAAGUGAACAAGAUGAAUGCAAUGUAUAUGAUCAAAAAUGAAUCAUAGUACUUGUAAAUGUUUAGUUUUCCUUUCUUUCACUAAUGGCUAUUGCUUACCCUCGUGUAAGCCGUUUGUGUAUGUUUCCGCUAGUGCAUUUCUUGUUUGAAUUUGUACAUGUGAUGAGCCUUGGACGGAUAGGGGAGACCCUGUCCGUUCGGCGUCUGUUUGACGUGCUCGGGUCGGGCCAAAUUGGUAUCGGUCCCGGGGCGUGACAGCUAAAGUCGAGUUUCAAGUGAGUUAGAAAGGUUUUAGCAUUGCUCAACGCAAAUUAGAGUCGAAACAAUGCAAAACUGCAUUCUGGAGCAUUGUUAACCGGUAAAGCACCAGGGGUGUCACCGGUACACUGCUAUAGACCGAGAGUAGAUUGCUCUCGGGUUAGCCUCUGUCAAGGCUGUUAACCGGUGACUAAAUAUGGGCAUACCGGUACCCUACAUCAACCAGAGCGUAGCAGCUCUCGGGUUUGGCUACUAUUGAGCUGUUAACUGGUGACUAAAUCCCGUGUCACCGGUUAACCUAUUCUGCGAACAGCAGACUGGGUCUGCUGCAAAUAAUAGAAGUUGGGGGGUUUAUUUGCAAAUGUGGCAGCCUAUAAAACACCCCAACCUCUCCUCUCUCUUGUUCACAGCAGAGAACACAUCCCUCUCUCAUUUCUCUCCCUCCCUUUCUCUAAAAACUCUCUCCCAAAGUGAAAAGAGGAGAUCAAGAGGAAGAUUUGAAGGAGAUUUGGAGUUUUGAAGGGUCUAGGGCUCUCCUACAAGAUGGAGUUUGGAGUGCUUUUGGGCUAAGGCGAGAUUUCAUGUAAGAACUAGGCUAGAGUUUGGUUUUAUACCCUAGAACACUUGGAUUUGAUCUUCUUACAUGUGAGGAAACCUAGUAGAGACCAUGGAACUCAUGAAAAUUCAUAUUUCUUUAUGUACUUUCAUGGUGGAAUUCUAGGGUUUGUUUUGUAUGCCCUACGAAUGGUUUAGAUGACCUAGAAAUGGUUUUAGAUGAAUCUCUAAGUGGUUUUAAGCUUGCUUUUAUUUACCUUGGAGAUCAAUCUAGCAUAUGUUGCUAUAAGGCAUUGCUAGGGCACCAAAAUUGGGGCUUUUGCUCUAGGUUGGUUUGAAGACAAAUUGACCUUGUAGAAAUCAAAUUGGGAGUAUUCCAACUUGUUGGUGGAUUCGGUUCGAUGAUCCGACGAGUUUACGUAAAGAUAUUGGAGAAAAAGUCUAAUUUGGCUUUGUUUUGCCGCGGGCGAGAGAAUAGGCGCCCAAAAAUCACGAGAUUUGAACCAUAGCACCUUUACAACCAUACGAGGUGGUGCUUUCCGAAAUUAUUGAAUUUUCUUUUAUGUCUAAAGUGUCAUUUUGAGCAUAUGUAUGUAUAGUAUCUUCAUGCAUUGUAGGGUUGAUUGAGAUAUGUUAUUUGCAUGCUUCUAGUAUAAAGAUGCAUAAGAGAAUGUUGAACAAAUAUGUAAACCCUAUGUAUGCAUGAAUAGUGACAAAGACCUAGAUGAGGUAAAGAACCAAAUGACAUUAUGACAUAUGGAUUGUGUGGCAUCAGUAAACAAAUGAAUGCUAGAAAUUGGACUCUUAGUUGAGUGGCAUCAAUGAGAUUUGAAUGCCAGAGUUGAACACUUAGUGUGACAUUAAUGAGAACAAUGAAUGUAUGAAAAUGAGUUAAAGAAUACUUAGUGUGUGUGGCAUUAUGAAAGUUAAAAAAUGCAAGUAAAGUGAGAUAGUUGACAUUAUGACAUAACAACCUUAUAGUUAAGGGUCAUUUGAGCAUUGCAUCCUUAUAGUUAAGGAUUGGAUCAUACUCGCCUAUAAGUCUUGGCUCGGAGGGCGGUAGCUCCCCCUCGAGCGAUGAGCUCUGGAGUUGUCAUCAACUGGGUUGAUCGUAUAAGCCUUCCCAGUAGACGGUCCCGUCGAGAGGCAGCUUAGGGCUCGACAAACAGGGAUUUGAGUUGGUGAGUUGUAGGCAAACCUACCGGUUGGCUAUGAGAUUUGUAAUUGAAAGUGAUCUUGCAUUCAUCAUGAGCAUUCUAUUGAGCAUAUUAUUGAUUAUAUCUUGUUCAGGCAUAUUAGCUGCAUUUGUUUAGUUGGUUACUAUCUAUCUAUUCUUCUAUUAUGCCUGAUUUAGACCUCGUGGGAAAGUCGGCGAGGUCGGCGGCCGAACCCACUGAAAACUUUGUUGUAGUUCUCACCCUACUAUUUCCACAGAGCUGGGACCGAGUGAGUCGGCCGACGAUUACGGUAAAAGUAUCGCGCCAUAGACAGGGACCACCCGAGUUGGUUUCAUAUUUUGUUUAGUUGCAUACCCUUUAUAUCAUCUUUUGUAUUUUGAUGAUUAUAGAUGCAUGAAUGAUGGUUAAAUGUAAAGAGAGCUUAUGUUUGAAUGAAAAGGCAUAUUUUGGAAGAUCAUGUGAUGUAAUGAGAAGAAAUGAUGUUUAAAGAAAAGAAUGCAAAUGUGUAUAUUGAAUGCAUGUAUAUGGUUAAAAGUUAAUCAUGUUACUUGUAUAUUGUUAGUUUAGAAUCUUUCACUUUGGCUACUGCUUGCCCUCGUACAUGCCAUGUAUGUAUGUUUCUACAUGUGCAAUAUAUCUACUCGAUUUGUACUUGUGUUGAGCCUUGAGCGGACAGGAGAGGUGUUGUCCGUUCGGCUUCUGUUCGACGUGCCCGAACUGACCAAAUAGGUCCGGUCGCGGGGCGCGACAGCAGCCAUGAAGGGAGACUCGGGAGGGCAGAUGUAGGUUGGAAAAGGCUCGAGGGAGGCCUUGACGAUGACCCAAAGCAGCCACGGCUGCACCACAAGUGUUGCCGCCCAAUACGGCAAGGUUAGACCCGAAUCCUUGCACCAGCGGGUAAGGAUGGUCCGAGGUUUGUUGGCUGCGCUGGGGAUGAAGCAAGGGGGGCCGAGGAAGGUCCCCCAUGCCCUCACAACUCCAAAACCGAGGGGAAGAAGUAGGUGGAUGCGGUUCAACCAGGGACCAAACAAUAGGGAGGAGAAAAGUGUACGACCUCGAUCUCCUUCACCUGUGCUCCGGUGAUCGAGAUGGCCGGCCGGCGGUAAGGGGAAUGGGUUGCGGUUGCUGUGGAGAGGGGGCUGCAGCAGGGGAAGAGGUUGGAGGUGGCUAGGGUUAGGGUUAAGAGAAUAAAAACCCUAGUUGUCAAGUUUUCCUGCAUCAAAAGUGGAGUUUUGCGCACCAGUCUCGCCUUAUUCCAAUCUUUCAUGACGAGGCUUCCACAUGAGGUGUAAAUCACAUAGAUCCCCUCCACAACCAGCCCUAAUCAGAUUCAUAUAUAAAAUAAUAGGUUUUCCCUCCAGAAACCGAAGCCGCGCAUCACCAAUUUAUCAAAAAUCUGCCAAUUUUCCACACUCGGGUUGCCGAAUCCAAAAUCUGACUUCACUAUGACUCCCGGCACUGCCAGACCAUUGAAAACUACCUAUUGGAUCGAUCAAAAUGGUGCCUGAUUCACAUCUGAAGCCAACGUUAUGCGUUCAUCCAAAAUCGAAAAGCCAAUUACUAUUCACUUAAGUGAAAACUAGAAAUCGCGUAAACAACUUCAUUUUAAUUCGUUUUGCCCCGAAAAUUGACGAGUGCUUUUGUAAUUAAAAUACACACAAAAACAUCGUCAACAGAGAGUUCAGCUACACUGCCAAAUUCUCAGUCCUUACACGGCACUCCGAAGUUAGCCUUUGCGAUGAUAGAUCGCCCGUACGGGAUUGAGCGCCGAAGUGAAUUAUCGUGGGAAAGGCUCAUUCCUAGUAGGGGAAAGUUGACUACCACAGGGCCAUUAGACAUGGCACAAGCCGGGACAAUACCAUGUGUGUAAGUCCCUCGUUAAUUGGGUAAUGUAUUAAACUUAACAUAGAACAUCACAAUUAGUUGACGCAUAUAUAUAUAGUAGAUGGACAUACUAGUGGGUUACUACCCCGUGGCACUACUUGAUGUAUUCAUAGUAAUUGGACUUUUAUGUUAGUCAUUAUUGGUAUUGACAACCUUAGUGAUAGUAAACCUACACACAUGCGGACUAGUAUAGAUGCAUAGCUAUAUGAUGAUAAUGAAACAAUAUUUUCCUUUAAUUAUUGUUUAUAGCUUAAAGAUGGAAAAGCAUGUAAACUUGCAUAUGCAUUUACUUGAGCAUGUGACAAUAGAGAAUCACAUACAUGUUAGUUGACAUUAUCAUGUAGAGGCAUGACUAUAAUUAAAUGUUCAAUUUAUUGUUAAUUGUAUGCUUAAUAAUUAUUGCAUAUUAUCAUGCCUCAGUUGACCUAAUAGAGUAUUUCACUACUCUCGGCGGCUUACCCACUGGGCACUAUUGUUUAAUAGUUCUCACCCCCUUUGGUUGUUUGUUUUUAUUUUAGAGCCUUCCACAGCAGGAGAGGCUAGGGAUCGUGGCAAGAGAUCUUCGACUAGCUAGAGCCUUCCCGGUGUUAUUAUACUUGGACCCGUCGACAUCUUUCUUUUGUUUUAGCUGAAAGAUGUAUAAUGUAUUUUGUUUAGAGAGCUACUUGUACUCGAGAUGUACCAUUUGUGCAUACUUAUUGUAUAUCUUGUGAUAGUGUUGUUACUCUAGACUCCUAUCUUGUAAUAGCCAUGUUAGGAAUUUAUUCCUAUUUCUUCUUAUGCUAUUGUAGAUGCCUUGUGUGUACUGGGGGUGCUUGGUGUACACGGCGGGUCUGUGCACGCGUCGGGCGAGCUUCCGUUGGGGUCCCGUGCGUGACACUCUGGAUCAGAAUAGUCACCAAAGUACUGUUUGUUUGGAUGUGGUACUGGCCACCGUCACGACCUCAAACGAAAACAUCGCUCGUAUUGGGCAAUUGUUAGCCCACAAUGAGCAACCAUACGGGGGUUCACAAGAACCCCUAGCCAUGUCAGUGCAAUAAAACCCCGUUUGUUGUGGAAGAACCUGGUUGAGCCGAUCCUUCCUCAGCCGAGUAGCUUCAUUCACUUUUGGCACACACGAGGGUCAUCCUAGGAGCCGACUAGCAUCUCGAAGAAGAAACUAACUUGGUUAACGCCCUGAUCUGGUCAGCCUCCCCCCGCAUUCGGUUUCUAGCCCAACAAUUUUUGACAUGCCCAGUGGUACCCACUUAGGUACAUCCUAAUCUUUCCCAAAUAGCUGACGAUAACACAAUAAAUCUCCGAAACAGGGCCGUUUCGAGAUCCUCAGGGAAUGACUAUAACGGUAGUGUCAAAAAUGCAAAUCAGUAUCAGACGACAUUCCAGUCAGGAUGUGAGAGUAGUGGGCACUCGGCUCGUUAUGAGCCGAGCCUAACUCAGGCAUUGGGGCAAAUGAUCCGAGUCUUGCAGACUCUGGAUCAGAAUAGUCACUAGAGUAUCAUCCGUUUGGAUGUGGUACUGGCUGCCAUCAUGGCCUCAAACGAAAACAUCACUUAGAUUAGGCAAUUGUUAGCUCGAAACGAGCAAUCAUAUGGAGGUUCACAAGGACCCCCUAGCCAUGUCAAUGCAACAAAGCCUCGUUGCACCGGUAAGCCUGUAGGCACAACCUUAGAUGGCACCUUUCCAGGCUGCUUAUAGGCCAGUGAACGUAAACGUCGACCCACUACCAAAAAUCACAUGGGGUUUACCUCUGUCGCCUCCCUUGCCUACAUAUUAGCCCUAAAAUGCAGGUAUUAGAGUAGGGGGGCAAGGCUCUAAUGCAGAGUAAGGACUAAACCCUACAAUGCAAAACUACAUGCCUCCUCUUAGGCCAAACAGGAUUCCAACCCGACACCCACCCUAACAACAGGAAACAACGAGCUGUAUGCUCAGAUAGAAGAGGUGAUUCAGAAUGCAUUCGGUGUUGGGGGAAAGGUCGGCGAUGCAGCCCAUGUUUAAAUCUCCAUACUUGCAAGUAUAGAUGCUGAAUAUUCUUAUUCGACGAACUAAAAAUUUUAAAAUUUGAUAAGUUCUCGAGCAAAGAAAUUGAGAACAAAGUACAGCAUGUCGCUCAAUUUACGGCCCUAUAUAGAGAAGAGGUCGCCGAUUGUUUAAUAUGUCAUUAACUAAAAUAGCAUUUACAUGGUACACGAGCUUACCCGCCAAUUCUAUCUAAGAUUGGGACGGACUGGAGUGUAAGUUUUACGAGCAAUUUUAUAGAUCAAAACCCUAAUUGUCGAUGGCCGAUCUAGCCCUAUACAGGCAGAAGUCAGGAGAAACGGUCGAGAAGUAUCCGAACCGUUUCAAAACGGCCAAAAAUUGAUAUUUCUUAAGAAUGCCGGAAGCUGAGUUUGCCAAAAUGGCAUUCAAUGGUCUGCAUUUCAAAAUAAAAAACCAUUUUUAAGAUAAAUAUUUUCCAAAUCCAUUAGAUCUAGGCAUUCAAGUUGCCGAAUAUGAGCAAUUCCAAAAAAGAAAUACAGACAAUCGGAAGCAUUAAAGCUGAAAUAAAGAAUAGAACAGGAAAAAAGAGAAAAACAUCUCUUUCAUUGAGGAGAGUUUGGCUCGAGAAGCGCCGGCACCUCCAGUGAAAGUGAGGACUCGGCUGAUGAGGCCAAGGUGUAUGUGGCGAAGAUAGUGAAAUACUGCUAAGACGGGGAGAGGAUACUUCGAUUUGCAUUGUGUGCAAGGCCAAAAUGACACAUCAAGACUGGGAGUUAAUCAUACACGAGAAGACAGCGUACGGAGAAUAGAAAGACUUCAUAGCCUUUUCCGAAGAAUAGGAAGACUUGCUCGAGGCCAUCGGCCACCCGGACGAAUGUUCGGAAAAAACCUCCAAUGACUCCAAAAAAUAGGCGAACUCAAUAAAGGACGAGCAGAACCUGCCAACUUAGAGGGUCCUGAACGAGUACUACCAGAUCGGGGAGAAGGCCAGCUGAGAAGGUUAUCCAAGGCGACCUGUAACAUACCGAACUUCUAAAGUUAUGAAGUUACGGUGUGUGUUAGCUUGGAAAGCCAUUUGAAUGGUUUCGGUGAAGUUCGGGAGCAUUCGGGUGUUUUCGGUGGGUGGUGGGCGUGAAAACGGAACCCGAAAGGCUAUAUUGGACCAUGGACUAAAUCCAGCAUAAGCGUGGAUGAAAGGAUGAUGUAUGUACGCUCGAAAACAUGUUUUGGGGGCCUCGGUACGAUUUAAGAUGAAUCGGACACUCACGAAGCGAAAACUAGUGAAAACGGAGAAGAAACGGACUAAAGCUGAAAACUGCAGAAAAUUGGCUAAGUCCUAAAUUGCUGGGCUGUCUAGACCUACGGGGUCCGAUCACUCUAGCCAAGGACUGGUCCCCGAAGCCCGAAAAUGCCCAAUGCGGGCUAUGCACAAAGAGGCAAGUUGAGGGGCUUUCUUGCAAUUUGGUGCAAGAGGGGAUUAAAGGGAGGUGAGACGAGCUCUCCUCUCUCACCCCCUCACACUCUAAACCCUAAAACACUCUCUCUAUCUCUCUCUCUCUCUAAAGAUCUCUUUCUCUCUCUCUUCAAGGAGGAAGGCAAGGAGAAGGAGUGGAAGAGAAGGAAGCUUAGAGAAGAAGCUUCAUCCUUAUCUUCUUCUUCCUCACCAUUAAAGCAAGCUUGAAAGGUAAGCUUGAUGCUAUUUAAUGGUGGAUUUCUAGGGCUUUGAUUAUAUACUCUAGAAUUGGCUUUGUUGGAAUCCUAGGAUGUUAAAUAGAUGAUUAUUGCUUGAAUCAAAACCUAGUAUUGUGUAUUCUAGCAAUAUUAAACAUUUAGGGCUCCAAAUGGCGUUUUGCGAAAUGUUAGGGUUUGAUCUUAAUUAACCCUAUGUAAACCUAAUUGUUAGGUUUUCUGACGCGCUGGUGAACUCGGUUUGGCGAUCCGUCGAGUCUGCACGGAGAUAUCUAAGAAAUAAUUAUUUUUGGCUUCGUUUCCACCUGGAGGGCCGAGGCAACGUCCUAAAAUUACGAAAAUUGAACCCUAGAGUCUUGGCAUCACUAGAAGGUGGGGGGUGUCAUCCCGAAGCAACUGGGCUUCCUUUUAUGUCUAAGUUAUAUAUUGAUCAUAUUCAUAUAUUGACAUUGUGCAUUAUAGGAUUUGUAGAUGCUUACAUUUCCAUUUCCUUGCAUGUUUCCUAGGUAGUGUAGCAUUGUAGGCUUGACACUUGAACUUAGGUUGCAUCAGGAUUGGGUCUUGUGACAUGGAAUCCUAUAGUGGCAUAAAGAGAUGAACUUGAACUUGAUGAUGAAAACAAGUGACAUGUGACUUAGUGUAAUAGAGACUCUAUAAUAUGAACGAGUGGCAUGUAAACCUAGUGUGGUUGAGACAUUUACAACAUAGCGACAUAAACGAGUGGCAUUCAAAUCUAGUGUAGUAGGACACUAUGGCAUUUGAACCUAGGGAUAGUAGAUUCCCGAUUGUUGUGUUGUGGACAUUGAGCUAGUGCAGUGGAGGCACUAUGACCCUAGUAGACAGGGUAUCCUCCAGUGAGGGGAUUGGAUCAUACUCACAUAGUUUGUGUAAUCUUGGCGUGGUCGCUCUACCCAAGUAGUGAGCUCCGGAGUAGUAGUCGUGUUUGGAUAACAUACUUUCCAGCAAACGGGUCUCGGGUGGGUGUAGCGCAGAGUCUCCCCAUUAGCGAGAUCUGAGAUGUGAGUUGGUAGUAACCUUCGGAUUAGCUAUGAGUCGGUAGUAACCUUCGGGUUAGCCGAGAUGAGAUUUGAUUAUUGAGGCAUAGUAGCAUGGCGCACUAUGUAGUAGCUCAUUCCUUUUGAUUAUUGAGGCAUUGUAGCAUGUUGUAAAUCAUAUACUAUGUAGUAGCUCAUUCCUUUUGAUUAUUGAAGGUAUAGUAGAAUGUUGCAGAUUACUUUACUAUAUUGCAGUUCAUUUUUAUAUCUAUCUAUCUGCUUAUGCCUGUUUAGACCUACUGGGAAGAUUGGCGGAGUCGGCAGCCGAACCCACUGGGAACUAUAUUUAUAUAGUUCUCACCCCAUUUUGUUACAGGGCCUAGCGAGAGUGUGCCGGCAGUUGAUCGCGGUAAGGGCAUAGCGCCCUAGUUAGCUAGCAGCUUCCAUUUUGCAUUAGAGUACCCUCGUGUACAUGAGUGAUAUGCGAUGUAUAUUGGUGAGGGUGCUAGUUGGAGAACCAUUUUGUAAUAUAAGCGAAACCAGUAUUCAUUUUGGGAGAUGAAAAAUGUAAUCAAUAUGUAAAUGUUGAAUGUCAAAUAUAAUAGCUAGAUCACUCUCUUUGCUCUCUUGUAUGCUUGUAUAGUUACUUGUUAGAAUCAUGUAUGUUAUUUGAGUUUUUCCCGGGCAACUCUUGUACAUGAUUACUGUUGCUUAGCCUUAGGCGGACAGGGGAGGUGUUGUCCGUUUGGCGUCUGUUCGACGCGCCCGAACCUGACCAAAUAGGCGGGUCGCGCGGCGUGACACGACCUUUCAACAUUCAGCGAAGGGACCAGGGAUAUCAGCCUAUGUGGUACCAGCACCCGUGACUGAGACCAAACCAAAAUUCGAAUGAGUGACCAAGGGAGAAAUAGAAGCCCUAGACUAGAGAUUAGUUUAUGAGUUAGGAAUCCGAUCAUAGCCGAGACCAUAGAAAAAGAGAGAGAUCCUGAGGGAACACCUUAGGAUGGUGAAGAUGCUGGUAAACGUGCCUACCGAUCAAUAGUUCAUGGCAAGGGCACCGGCCAGAUGGUAUGGGCUGCUUCUGACAAAAACUCAAAAACUGUGGCAAUAGAGGUUGCAAGCCGAGAUGAGAAAGCAUUGGAAAUAAGCAAAGUGGAUCAGGCCGAAUACUUGGAAGCGGCCCGCUUAGCGAUUGCCCCUUCAGCCCAUGAAGAACGAUGGUGAGGCGGGCGAUUCAAAGUCCCUGCCAUGGUUGAAAUCUCAGGUGGUGUAGUCGGCUGCAGAGCUGACGAAGAAGGUCACUCACAAGGAGUUGAAAGAAAAGAUCGCUUCUCCGGAGACCAUCGUCAAGCGGGAGCAGUGGCCAGCCAAGAAAAGAGUGGUUAGGCCGAAGAGUGAAUCUUCAACCGAAGUGGCAAAAGGGUCCAACGAGAAAAAGUAGAGGGCUAGAGAAAUCGCAAUCGAAGGAAGUUUGGCUGAUGUCGGCAUAGUGUAUUGCCAUGUUCAGUCCAGACGGAGUUGGAAAAGGCUGAGGAGCAACCUCAAUACGAAGAGGAGCUGGCCAUAGCCCAGCUCUAACUUGAGGACGCCAAGUUGGAUUGCAAACAUCUAAGUAAUCGUGAUAUUAUUACAAGCUUCAUGUUGGUAAAACCAAAAUUAAUGAUAUAAAAAUUAUUUUAUUUUGUUGAAAAUGCAUGCUAGACUUGGAGAUUGCCAAUAUUCCACUAUUGCUUUAAUUAGACAAUGGACAUAUAGAUAAAAUCACUCUGUAGUUACUCUUGAUAGAGCAUAAGAAAAUAAAAUCGCACAGCAAAAUUUGAUUUUACAGUUAAGUGAUCUUUUUUGAUAUAUUUAAUUAAUCACCUAUUGCUUGAAGCGAGAAUGUAUCUCCAUUCAACUGAGCAGUUAGAAAACAGAAGAAUUACAACAUGAAACACAUGCCCAAAAAAUGCCCCUAAACAGUCAAUUCAAGAUUAGGAGUCCUUAGCUUGAUGGAGUCCAUAUAUCUCAAGGAAUAAUUGCUUUGAGACCUCUUCCAAAGCUUGUACGUCUGCUUCUUAACUUCUUUUAAUAUCUUCAAGGCAAUAGUAGAAGAAUCAGAAUAGGAACUUUAUACGAAAUAUGAUGCUUUGCUUGUAUCUCUUCUCUUCGAUCUCACAACCCUAGAUCGCUCAAAUUCGACAUUACGCGAGAGGGGACAACCAAAAAUGGCGGCAUUCGCGUUGUCAGGAGGGGAGGGAGAAGGGGUUUCGUGUCAUGAAGUAGAGAAGGUUCAAAGAAGGAGUAGGAUGUUCUCCUCCUAAAGAGAGGAGGGAAAAGAGAGGGUAUGUUCGAAGGAAUAAACGGCGGCCUGUAGCUAUAAAGGGAAGAGGAAAAGAGGAUUAGGGUUUAGAUUUUUUUUUAAUUUACGUUGGAUUUAGAGGUGGUCUCUAAAAAUUGUCUCUAACAUAAUAGCAGAGAGAUAGUUAUAGAAACUGCCUUUCCAGAACCGCCUCUACGACCGCUUUUUCUUGUAGUGUACUACUGGGUGCUCACAACCAUAACCCAAUCUUAUUGACCGACUCAAGAGUCCAGUCAAACUUGUGCCCACCUACUGCCACGAUACAAAUUUUGUAGAUGACCCGUUAAUAUGUAGAUUGCCCACCAAGGCUGCUGCAACAUCAACGCUAUAACUAGAUUUUGGAGCAGCACUCGAGAAGCGCGACCUAACCGAAUAUACAACAUGCUGUUGAGCUCAAAUACGGCUCAUGCAUACUGUAAUCAAUGCAGAUAAUCAUCUAGAUCAUAACUCGGCACAAUUCGGAGUGUAACCGAAUGAUCCGGAACAACUACAUCAUCAUAUGGAAAAUAAAUCACUAGCCAAUCUACCAACUUUUAUACUAACUAUUACCGCCGAUCAGCAUGGGGAUAAAAUCAUUUUACACUAUCCUGAAUCAUCCCUACCCACUAAGCUAGAUAAAAGCAUGCAAAAAAUAAAUGUUAACACUAAUGUGCAACAACAAAAACAAUAAGAUUGCAUAGUGCAGAUCUAUUUGCAUGUGAUUUGGUUUAGAACUCAUAAUUCAUUUGCUAUGUACUAGGAAUAAAAUCUUAGAAGUACUAUGCAAUAGAAAGCAAGAAUUACUCAUACUAUCUUGCUAAAUUCAUAUUCCAAUAAUCCAAAACACAAAACAUAUAAAAUGAAUAGAAAUAAUGAGGAUUUCGUCAUUUCUAAUUUUAACCCACCUCUACAAAAAUAAUAGGACUGCAUAGUGUAGAUCUAUUUGCAUGUGAUCGGGUUUAAAACUCAUAAUUCAUCUACUAUAUAUUAGGAGUAAAAUCUGAGAAGUACUAUGCAAUAGAAAGCAAGAAUUACUCAUACUAUUUUGCUAAAUUCAUAUUCCAAUAAUCCAAAGCACAAAACAUGUAGAAUGAAUAAAAAUAAUGAGGAUUUCGUCAUUUUUAGUAAUUUUAACCCACCUCUACUCGCAAAUCCAACAACAUGAAUGAAUGAAGUCUCAAUGCUACUUCACUGCUCCAAAGCCAGCCAAAAAUUCACGAACAGUUUUCCAAAAUCCAACAAGAAAAGCACAGCUAUAAAAGAAAUAAAAAUCUAACCAAAAUCCAACGAUACUCCGAUUCGGUUCAAAAAUUCCAAAUUCGACCAACGUACAACUCAAUCCGGCUA
rnacentral:lncRNA from 1 species